AUGAUACCUCAGCCCGAUGGUAGCGUAACCAGCUUCACUGGGAAACACAUCUGGGAAGUUUUUGCACCUGGGCAAAUGAUGGAGGGUGAUGUUGUGCUUGACUGUACAUUUUACAGUGGUGAAGAUAAAGAGUUUAAUGUGGAGAGUGCAGUGAGAGAUUUGAGGAGCUAUGUUAAAAAAGAGGAAGACUUGCUAACUGCCGACCUUAUCAUGGUGCCUCUAUUAAAGCCUAUGGUUUUACCAAAGGAUAAGAAAGUAAACCACUUUUCCUUAUAUGUCAUGAAUCGGUACCGAAGUAGCGUCGACAUCCUUGACUCUUUACCUUAUCCGAAGAACCAUCAUCCUUCAAAGAACACCUAUCAUAAAGACUGCGUGAAGAUUAUCUCUAGAUUGGUCCAUGUAAUGAAGGCUGUGUAUGGUGAUGCUCAGUACAAUGUGAGCAAGCAGCCCAAAUGGGAGAUUUUUUUGCAAAGAAACCAACGUUUGUCAAGGUUCCACUUCACGGCCCGAAUGAAUGUGGCCAUUAUACUCUGA
rnacentral:rRNA from 1 species